CUCAGUGACUGAUCAAUCCCAGACUAAGAAUUUUGUCUGCUGGGAGGGCUGGGUUCCAGUACCACUUUGGAUAUGUAAUUAAAUGGGUAAAUAGCAGCCUGCUGGUUUCAACCACCUGGAUCUGCCCCUGCAGCAUCUCCCUUUCAGACUCCUCUGCUCCCACUCAGGCAUGGCAGACCACCUGGCUUAAAUCUAUGUGGCGCUUCCUAUAUGAGGCAGCACUUACAGGCUCUAUGAAAGGAACUCCUUCAUUCAGACAAGGAACACCUGAAAUUAACAAUCUGGGCAUCAGAAGAGAAUGUAAUUCAGCAUGAUUUUUCCACUAACCUCUAAUGCAGCUUGGUAUCCAAACUGAACUCAACCAGGAUAUUUCUUUCAUUGGUCUGGUCAAAUUUACAUUUCUGGUGAGGGGGAAACAGAAACCGCUUUGUGGCAGGAACUGUCUCUUUGGUUGUGCAGUUCCCAGCACAAUGGGGCCUUAACUUCUAGAUGCUAUGCUGCUAAAAAUAUUAUAAUAAUCCCAAAGUUCGAGUGAUCUUGCUACACCAUAGAUUCUCCAGGAGAUCUGGUUGGAGUAAUAAAACCAAGCACUUUAGAAAUGUGGGUACCAGCCAUAGCAGCAUUUUGUAGACAGACAUAUAGGAUCCUUCUUUUGAAUAUCAGGUGCCAAGUUUAAGCACAAUGAUAAAUUAGACAAGCCUAUGGCUGGCCUUUCCAGUUGCCAUUAUCUCUGAAAGGCAGGUUUUGGAAGUAGUUCCCAUGACCAUACAUUUUCUUUCUGUUAGCGUCUUCUUUCCAAAUUCAACCCACCCUGGUAAAUGCCCACAAUAUAAAUUAUUUAUUUCUCUAAAGGGAUACUUAGACAUCUGUUUGUCUUAUGAUUAAUUUAAUACAUUAUAUCAAGUUGUCUUAAUGCUAACAAAUGCUUGCUGGCAUGUUUCUACAGUUGUGGACGAGCUCUUCUGGUGGCUUGAGCUGAAGGGAGCCUCCAGCAGCAACACUGGUCUGCCUCUGAAUUCUGCAGGUGGUAGGCAUUAGCCUAGGAAUAAUGAAUUUGGAGAGAAACUGCUAACAGAGAAUUAUCAGGUUAGAAAUUUCUAAAUUUCUAGAGGCCACAGUGUCAGUGGAAUUUACAUGUAACUAUAAGCAAACUGUUUUGAACUGGGAUUCUCUCCGUUAGAGAGAAUGGGGCAGAACUUAGUGAGGUGAGGGUUUGUGAAUUCUUUCCCGAUUUAGCUGGGCUUAUGGGAAAACGAUGGUGCUUUAUAAAGUGACAGCCUUAAAGAGGUCCAGGAAAUGGAUAUUUUAUAUGUGGAGGAGCUGACUUGGGCUUGUGGGGCUCAGAUUAAAGGUCUGUUUAAUUUUGAUGUAGGCAUUAGGGCUUCGGCUGCAGCCUGAUCUCUAGGACCCUUCCCCCUCAUAGUAUCCUAGAGCCCAGGUACAAACUCAAACCCAAAUGUCUGCACUGCCCCGUGAACUCAAAUCAGCUGUCAUGGGCCAGCUGCAGGUGUCUAAUUGCAAUGUAGACAUUCACUUAAAAACCUCCUUCUUAGGUUAAGAACAAAAAGAAUUCUAAGUGUAUUGGUACCUUAGUAGAUGGAAAUGAUUAAAUAAAAAUGCAGAAAAGGCACAAAUAUUCAAUAAAUCUUUCUGUUCUGUAUUUGGAGAAAAAAGAUGAUGUAGUCAUAUUAUACACUCUUUAUAUUCUGCUAAUAUCUCAGAAGGAUGUUAAACAGCAGCUACUAAAAUUAGACAUUUUAAAAUCAGCAGUUCCAGUUAACUUGCAUUAAGAGCUUUAAAAGAGCUGGCUGAGAAGCUUGCUGGAUGAUUAAUUUUUAUUCAAUAAGUUUUGGAAUACCAGGGAAGUUCCAGAAGACUGGAAGAAAACUAACAUUGUGACAAUAUUUAAAAAGGAUGAUUUAGGUAAUUAUAGGCCUGUCAGUCUCAUGUCAAUUGUAGGCUAGAUAAUGGAGCGGUUGAUACAGGACUUUAUUAAUAUUAAAUGGAGGGUAAUGUAAUUGAUGCCAAUCAACAUGGGUUUAAGGGAAAUAGAUCCUUUUUUAUAUAUAUAUAUU